UGCAAUAAACAGUGGCCUAUGAAUUUUGGGAAAAUAUCAAAUCUAUUUAAUAUACACAGAGAUGGAACAGAUUGUUGCAGUUAUAAUAAUGAAGAUGGUUAGUUACACAAUUGCUAAUGGUCUUUUUUUUUUAAACUUAGGCCUUGUUGAUUGAGCACACUGAAUGGAUUGAUAGACACAUAUCUCCAUGGCAGACCCGGUGCCAAGAUGUCACAACUGAGGGGACAAAAAAAGUCCACAACUAGACCAGACACAUUCAUCUCCAAACAGAAGAGUCUUUGAUGAUUGACGUCCCAAGUGGAAUGGAUUUAAAAGGUCGGUGUUGGACACAGAAAUGCAGAUUAUUUCGACACAAUACAAAAAUCAAGAGGGAAAGGAUUGGAGCUUAGCUGGAGGACACGGAUGAGCACAAUUAAGUGUUUUCUAAACCAAAAUUGACAGACAAGACGGAGAUGUUCAAUCAUCAGCCGGAAACCAACUACGGCUUGAGUCACAAGAGUUUUUUGACAGGUGUAUAACCAAGAUGUUUAGAUCUACGUUCUUUCAAUUUGCGAGCCACUUUGAGGACCAAAGCAAUGGAAUGCAAAGCUCAUCAGCACUCAUGAACGUGUUUCAACAGCAGCCCACAUGCUGCUGAUCACAGCUUUGGCUGUGACUGAACUCGACUAGCAUCAGAUUCCAGAUCCUUGCCGUCUCCUCUGCAGAGAGGUUACCCAUUGUACAAAGUGCUAGUAAUGAGAACAUGCUGGAGAUGCUUUGAUGAGGUGGCCUUUCUGCUAAAUGCAUUCAUGUCUGUGUGUGACAGUGGGUGUUCCUGACACUUAAGUGUGUGUGUGUGUGUGUGUGUGUGUGUGUGUGUUUAUCACAAUUGUCUUGCUGCGAUUUGAUUGCUGAAGUUUUUAUCACGAUAUAUAGUAUGGUAUUAUCACAAUAUUGACCAAAGCUUAGUUUUGUUUUUGGCGGCCUGGUUUAAUUCUGAAUUUAGUCUAGUUUUUGUGUGAAGCUGACAUUUUAGUUUUUAUUAGUUUUAAUCACAUUCAUACUUUUAAUCAGUCUAUACUUUUAGUCAUGUUUUAGUUGACUAAAAGUCUGAGUCUUAUCAGAAUCAGCGAUGACUACUGUCGUCUAGUUUUAGUCAUCAAAAACUGAUGACAUUUUAGGCUAGUUUUAGUCAACGACAACUGAAGUCAUCCCAGCAGGCACACAACAUCUUAAGAUGAUAAUAUAAGGUUAAAUUUAGAUCAUGAUGUCAGGUGACCAAAAUUCUAUGUUUUUCAAUCAAGUUUUUUGACGUCCAAUGCUGAUGUCAAAUUACGUUGAUAUUUGGUUGAUUUUAGGUUGUGUUUGAAAGUGACAAA
rnacentral:lncRNA from 1 species